UUCGGGAACUGUGAGACAGGUGCUGCAUGGCUGUCGUCAGCUCGUGUUGUGAAAUGUUGGGUUAAGUCCCGCAACGAGCGCAACCCUUAUCCUUUGUUGCCAGCGGUCCGGCCGGGAACUCAAAGGAGACUGCCAGUGAUAAACUGGAGGAAGGUGGGGAUGACGUCAAGUCAUCAUGGCCCUUACGACCAGGGCUACACACGUGCUACAAUGGCGCAUACAAAGAGAAGCGACCUCGCGAGAGCAAGCGGACCUCAUAAAGUGCGUCGUAGUCCGGAUUGGAGUCUGCAACUCGACUCCAUGAAGUCGGAAUCGCUAGUAAUCGUGGAUCAGAAUGCCACGGUGAAUACGUUCCCGGGCCUUGUACACACCGCCCGCCACACCAUGGGAGUGGGUUGCAAAAGAAGUAGGUAGCUUAACCUUCGGGAGGGCGCUUACCACUUUGUGAUUCAUGACUGGGGUGAAGUCGUAACAAGGUAACCGUAGGGGAACCUGCGGCUGAUCACCUC
rnacentral:rRNA from 1 species